CAAAUUUGUUAAAAUUCCAUUUAGAUAGAUAACCAUGUAGAGUAUUUGUGGAAUACAGAAGUAAUAUUCGGUCAUUAAUAACUCUACAUGAUACCUUUGAAUAUAACUAAUAAAGGUAAUAUAUAUAUAUAUGGUUAUUAACUCUCAUGCAUGUUUUGCUCAAGCAAAAAGAAAAAAAAAAAAAAGAAAAACAAGAGGAAAUUGAGUUUGAUGAAGCAAAACAAAAGAGCUGAAAAAUGAGUAGCAGAUCCCUCUAUUAAUCAUAGACCAAUAAGGACUCUACUCCUAGCAAAACCUCAAGGACUGGCACUGUUUUUGUAGCCUGAUCUGAUCUUUAUUACAAACUUUGUAGACUUUUCUUUAGAGUUUGUUUAUAAAAUUAAGGUUGCCGGUGUCCUUGCUUUUGCUAUAAUUUUACUGAAGUCUUCAAAAUGAACUGGAGAUGCCUGAAUCAUGAUGUAUAUCAUCUAAUUGGUUAGUUAAAGUUGAAAUAAGUGUUUCUGGCCACUUGAAUCUUAUUGUUGCUAUCUCAGAUGCUGAACAGAGAGAAGUAGAUACAUGGCACUUCAUGUAAACAGCCCCUUGGAAAGGUUUAAUUCCCAGUGCUGAUGGGCAAGUAUUACAUUCUCAAGAUGGUGGAGAUAGUCCAAUUCUCAGUCUCUUUAAAUUAGUCACUGCUGCAAUAUUAUCUAAGCCAGGGAAAUCAAAUCCUUGUUUCCUGCCGAUUGCAGUCCAUUCUAAGCUGGUUUUGGAAAUAGAGAUACAGAUGAAGUUAGCUACCUUAAGGUCAGAAUUCCACUAGGAAAAAAUUACUAUGCUUGAAAAUGAGCGAAGUCAGAACUGAAAGAGCUUCUUCAGAGCUUUGGAAGGCAGCAAGAGCAGCUGAUUAUAGUAUUGGGAGUAAGUUGCUGAUACCUAAACCCCUCCUCUCACUUUUUGGAAACUUGACAGAACGAACUGGGUAGAAUGAUUUCUUUGGAGCAAUUCUUGACAACAUUUGUAGUUGAGGCCUUUAGAAUGGAAGAAUGUAUUUCACUAAUUUUUGUAUACAUUUCUUGUUUUGUAUUUAGUGAUAAAGGAAUCUG